AAGAGCCUUUGGGAAGAUGUGCGGGUUGAGGAAUGAAAGAAGUAGAUGGCAGAUUUCUCAGGUUUUUCUCUAGACCCCAGAGCCCCAGAGUUCUAUCCCAAGGCAAGACAUUUCCUUUCUCUGUUUCUUUUAAAGAAGAAGGGAGAUAACACAACUUUCCAGGAUAAGUUCAUUGUGAGUUUUACUGGAGGCAGGGCCUAGACAAGCAACAAAACAAUCUACCAGGCAUCAAUUUGUAGCAUUUGAUGGUUUUCCAGGCAUAAAUACUCACAUGGAAAAUUUAACAAUCAGCUCUCAAUUGGUUCUUGUGAGCUGAGAUGGUGUUAUUCAGAAUGUCGCUCAUUAGUGGUUUGCUUCAGUUUUGCCCUCCAUGAAGCUGAGCAGGAGUAGAUGUUCCAGCUCAUUAUCUGACAGCUGAAUCCUCUCCGUCCAGGCUGCAGCUGUACAUUUCAAUUAGACGGAUGGAUGGUUAACCUAGUUGAGGGGCUGGAAAAGGGAAAGCUCAUAGUGCCCCCUACUGGCUGCUAUCCAGAUUCAGGAACUUUAGAUGGAAUGUGAAAAAUAGUCAGAAACGAUCCUUGUCGUUGGCCUCAUGCAGAAGCAGGGGCAAGGUGUCAUCGAGACAUGAUAAAAACAUGCCUGUCCUUGGCAUUUAAGGACUCAGAGUGACUCAGAGACAUCCAGAGUGAAGGAAGAGAAAACAAAGAAGAAAGGAUCUUUCUCAGGCCCAGCUGUCCAGCUGGCACAGAAUCGGAAGGAGCCUUCCUUCUUAACAGACAGAGUCAUCAAAUCGUAGGAUCUCAGAGUUGGUUCUAAAACCCGAAAGGUUUUGGAAUCAUUUUGCUACUUAGUCAUGUCUGACUCUUUGUGACCUGUGGAUCACGACAUUUUCUUGACAAAGAUACU